GAGGGAAGCAAUCAAUCUUCAGAAGGAACAACCUUCCCGUCCACCACCUCAUUGUUGAGAGACACCAUGGUAAGAUCCAAGUCGGGGUACAGGCAGGCGAACUGUUCCCGGGCGGCCUCGAAUCCAGCAGCAAGAAUCUGGGCAGAGCUCAGCUCAAGUUCUUCGAUCUGUUUCUUUAGCCCCUCGUUCUGCUGCUUCAG
rnacentral:lncRNA from 1 species